UCCCUCUUAGCUCAGUGGUAGAGCGUGUCACUCGUACUGCAUGUACAAUGACAAGGUCAGUCGUUCAAUCCGGCUAGCGGGAA
rnacentral:tRNA from 1 species